GGGCCAGUGGCGGAAAGGGAAGACGCACCGACCUUGGGAAUCGGAGACCUUCGGGUCGUGCGCGUUCGAAUCGCGUCUGGCCCA
rnacentral:tRNA from 1 species